rnacentral:rRNA from 1 species
UACGGGAGGCAGCAGUGGGGAAUAUUGCACAAUGGGCGCAAGCCUGAUGCAGCCAUGCCGCGUGUAUGAAGAAGGCCUUCGGGUUGUAAAGUACUUUCAGCGGGGAGGAAGGCGAUGCGGUUAAUAACCGCGUCGAUUGACGUUACCCGCAGAAGAAGCACCGGCUAACUCCGUGCCAGCAGCCGCGGUAAUACGGAGGGUGCAAGCGUUAAUCGGAAUUACUGGGCGUAAAGCGCACGCAGGCGGUCUGUUAAGUCAGAUGUGAAAUCCCCGGGCUUAACCUGGGAACUGCAUUUUGAAACUGGCAGGCUUGAGUCUUGUAGAGGGGGUAGAAUUCCAGGUGUAGCGGUGAAAUGCGUAGAGAUCUGGAGGAAUACCGGUGGCGAAGGCGGCCCCUGGGACAAAGACUGACGCUCAGGUGCGAAAGCGUGGGGAGCAAACAGGGAUUAGGAUACC